CUCGGCAUUUGCGGCGUCUCCCCUUCACUCCCGCAGGUGCUCUGAGGGAGCGAGUGAGACGUUACGGCUGUAGCGGGGCCGCCGUCCCCAGCCAGCGAGUAAGGUGAGCUUCAAAGAAUGAGAACAUGGAAAAGCCAGAGCCGUUCUACAGACUUCCAGUGUCAAAGCAGAAGACCAGUUCUGAGAUUAUAAAUGAAGCCAGAAGUGUUCUACGAACGCUAAGAACUCAGAGGCCAUUUACACCUGCAGAGGAUCAAAGGAAACUUUUUGGAUCUGGAUCUUCACGGGCUCCUCAAAAUAGACCUCCUUCAGUUUUUAGUCUUCAUACUUCCAGUUUUGAUUUGGCUGAAUCAAGACCUGCUUCUGGUGUUCGUCUCAGCCCAUUGGAUUAUAAGCCAAUACUAGUCAUUUCAUCUAAGGAUGAAGAUUCUUCUGUUUCCCUUCCAAAGCCUGCUGUGGAUGCUGCAGAGAUUAGGAAAAUCAGCAACGCUAAGGCACAGUUAUUUAGAAGAACUUCUCAGGGAGAUGCCUUUCCUGCUAAAAUGGCUCCACUGGAUCACCAUGAAGAGAAGCUUGAUUGUGAAGAACCAGCUAUGAUGAGUAGUCUUCACGGAACUAAUGAUAACUGCUUAGCAGAGCAAAGGGCAUACACACCAUUUAAUGACAAAAGCAGGCAAUUAAUUUGUAAUGAGCAUAGUGGUAAACCGGAAAGGGAAGAUGUUCUAAAAGGCACAGCAGGAAAACUUUUAUUUCAGCUAAAAGGUGAAAGUAACCAGAUGAAAAAGCAUGGCGUAGUUGCAUCGAAGCCAAGGAGUAUAGACUGGAAGACAAGAUUAACAGGAUUAGAGGAUGGUACGAGAAUAGAUGAAUCGGAAGAGGAAAAAAGCUUUUGGCAUGUGAAGGUUCUACCAAUUCUGCAAGAACUGGAAAGUGAAGACAACAUAGAAAGUCUUUGUUUGGCUUGCACCAAACUCUAUCAAGUCUUGAAUGAAGGAAAUAUGCUUGGAAAAAGAUGUAAAAGAAGAAGUAUGCUUCUGAAGACAUUGUAUAAACUUGUAGAAAUUGAUUCAGAUCCACUUUGCCUGAACCUGGCAAAGAUUAUUCUGUCUAUGAAAGUGGAUGGAAAAAAUCUUCUCGGAGCCUGCAAGCUUGCAUUUAAAGUUUGCAGGAAUGGAAAAAAUGACUACCUCAUUCAAAAUGAUACAUUGCUAGAUUGUUUGUUGGAGGUCCUGAGAACUGAAGAUCUACAAAAAAACAAUGAAGCUAUCCUGUAUUGCUUGGGAGCUGUAAAAUUUAUGUCUGGAAAUGCAGUGCUCCUUAAUGAAAUGGUCAGCAAAGGAGCUGUUGAAUUGUUGCUGCAGUUAAUGAAGCAGAUUAAUAGUAUAAAAGAAAAUGACUCACAUUUCUCCAGAUUGGGCCACCUAUUAGUCCAGCUGACAGCUACUUUGCGAAACUUGGCUGACUUACCUCAGACGAGAUGCCAGCUCAUUUGCAGUGGUGCUGUCUGUGAGCUCUGUGUGGCACUGGAGCAGCAUAUGAUUGACAAGGAUGUGUGCACCUACAUUGUCAGGAUUUUCAGCAAACUUUCUUCGUACAAUGACUUCUGUGCAGCUUUAGCAGACUGCUCCAGAUGUUACAUCUUAUUUUUAGCCCUACUAAACAAACACCAGAAGCAGCAGGACUUGGUUAUCCGUAUCAUCUUUAUUCUUGGUAAUUUAACAGCAAAGAAUAACCAGGCCCGUGAACAAUUUUUUAAAGAAGAAGGAAGUGUUAACACCUUGAUGUCAUUGUUCCAAACCUACCAUGAACUUGAUUUGAAUGAAGAGAAAUGGUACCAUGAAAGAGGAAGGGAAGAAAAAAAAAAUCCAAAGCAUCCUUCCAAAGCAGAAGAUGUUCUGAUAAAACUGAUACGAGUGCUGGCCAAUCUGUCCAUUCAUCCCAGUGUAGGAGAAGCUCUGGCAGCUGCCCAUCGUGUUGUAGAAUUACUUGUUACAGUACUAGAAUAUAAGUCAAUUGAUGUCUGCGAGGAGUUGGUGAUCAAUGCUGCAACAACAAUCAACAAUUUAUCCUUCUACAAAGUGAAGAGUUCUGCAGUUCAAGACAAGAAGCUACGCAUUGCUGAAAUGCUUUUGAAGCUGUUAAUGAGCAACAAUAUGGAUGGAGUUGUGGAAGCUGUCAGAGUCUUUGGCAAUCUUUCCCAGUAUCAUGAGAUCUGUGACUUCAUCGUACAGAAAAAGAUACACAAGUUCGUGAUUGCUUUACUUGAUGCCAAGAAUCAAGAUGUCUGUUUUUCUGCCUGUGGAGUCUUGCUCAAUCUCACAGUAGAUAAGGACAGACGAGCUCUUCUGAUGGAAGAAGGAGGAAUUGGGAAGUUAGUUGACUGCUUACGAGACUUUGGGCCAGCAGACUUGCAGCUGGCUUGUUUGAUAUGCAAAACCCUCUGGAACUACAGUGAAAACAUCACAAGUGCAGCCUUGUGUUUUGGAGAAGAUACUGACACGUUGCUGAUGCUGCUCACAUCACUCUUAGAUGAAGAGCUUGCGUUGGGCUACAGCCUUGACAGAGGGGACCACCACAAACUAUACUGGGAAACAGAGUUCAAACCUGUGGCAGAAAAACUUCUGGGCAGAAUUCAGAGCCAUCGCUCCUCUGUUUCCACUGCGAUCAUUACUGCAUUUUAAUCUGUUUGGGGCUUUUGUUAUUUGUGGAUUGUACAGAUAUACUUAUGCAAUGUAUGUUGCCAUUGCUAAAGUUGAGAGAUAAACAGCUUCAAUGCCCCGUUUGCUCCUUGGCCAAGAGUGGAUGUGAUUUUCAGGCAUAUGAAUGAAGGCACAAUGGGUAAGAGAGCACUGGAGGCGUUUGUUCUUGGCAUUCGCAUCAAGGCAGAAGGCAGGAGAACACCAUGCUGCGUGGUGCAGGGUGGGGAUGCAGCAAACAGACCUCGUGGCUAAGUCCUGUCAGAAGCUCUAUCAGAACUGAGAAAUCCUCAGUGUGUCUGUCAGAAGGCAGACGGAAAAAGACUUCUUGCUCAAGUCCUUGUGAUGGUAGAAAUGUAGGCAAUUAAAAGGAGUUCAAAGAAAAUGUUAAGUUAUUUCAGUAAAUGCAAGUUAUUGCAGUAGUUCAAGCAACUGAACUGUAAACAGCAGUGUAGGGUGUCCUGUAGCACAGCAGAACAGGAUGUCCCAAACUGGGGGGAGAAGCUGGGACAGCCCAUGGGUGUUACCUCUGUCCCUGUGUUAAGAGUUUGUCCUGUGACAGUCUUAGGAAGACACACGCAUAGGAAUGCUAAGGAGGGCAGAGGACAGCUGAGGCCUCAGAGAACCUGUGGAGCCUCACAAGUCUGGCUCUUUUUCUGAGCAAAACUCUUAAUAAUAAUAAUAGCGAGCUCCAAAAUGCUGAAUUUCUGCUGUAUUCCUAUGGCAUCUUUUAGCAUGUGUUUGUGUUUAUGACAAACCUCAAUGCAGGAGUUCUUUCAUGAUGUGAGGAGCCACUUCUAUUUAGAGACCAAGCACAUAGCCUCUUGCACUGUUGUUAUUUUUUCUGCCUUGGGAGAGUAUGUUCUCAUGCGCACGUGCAAAGUUUUGUCUGAAACUGUGAAGAUGUAAAGCCAGGGGCUGCUGGGGAGGACUGUGAAUUGCCCAUGGGCAGAUGGGUCUGUCACAUUCCUAUGGGUGGAGAUAGAAAAUGCUGGGUUUGUUAUUUUACUAGUGCCUCAUGUGGGCCCAUGCAGCAGCCAGCCAUUAGCUCCCACCCCUCCUGCUAGCACAGGCUGGGUGUGUUCACACUGUCCUGGGAGGAAGGCCACAGCAACGUGGCC